GACGAACGCUGGCGGCGUGCUUAACACAUGCAAGUCGAACGCUGAAGCUCAGCUUUUGUUGGGUGGAUGAGUGGCGAACGGGUGAGUAACACGUGAGUAACCUGCCCCCUUCUUUGGGAUAACGCCCGGAAACGGGUGCUAAUACUGGAUAUUCACUGGUCUUCGCAUGGGGGUUGGUGGAAAGGGUUUUUCUGGUGGGGGAUGGGCUCGCGGCCUAUCAGCUUGUUGGUGGGGUGAUGGCCUACCAAGGCUUUGACGGGUAGCCGGCCUGAGAGGGUGACCGGUCACAUUGGGACUGAGAUAAGGCCCAGACUGCUACGGGAGGCAGCAGUGGGGAAGAGUGAGCAAUGGGCGCAAGCCUGAUGCAGCGACGCCGCGUGAGGGAUGGAGGCCUUCGGGUUGUGAACCUCUUUCGCUCAUGGUCAAGCCGCAACAAUGGUUGUGGUGAGGGUAGUGGGUAAAGAAGCGCCGGCUAACUACGUG
rnacentral:rRNA from 1 species